CCCAGCGGGGGUUGGGGCGAGGCCGGGAGCUGUAGAGGCGGGGCCGGGACCUGCGCCAGGAUCGAGCACCAGGAGAGGGUCUCCCUGCUGACGGCUCCAAAUAUCCAGUUGAAAUUAAUGGGAGAAAUCGAGGUGGAAGCUAGCAAAGAACAACUAAUUGAAGACAGGCACUACUGGGAAGUGUACAGAUAUCCAUGGUUCACGGACUUUGGUUCAGUCAUAAUGCUAACCUGACAUAUGUCAAUUUGCAGAAAAUUUCCCAAUUGGUGUCUGAGGAAGCGAGGAAAGGAGGCAACUGUCUAUGAAAUAACGUUGUGAGUUGGAUUGCUGUGAAUCUUCAUCUCUUGUGCUGCUGCUGUUGUAUAUACACAUCACUAUGCAAACAAGUGAAAUUACACUUGUUUGUGUAAUUUCUUGAUUAUUUGUAUUUCUCUUGAUAGAAGAGAAAGCAAAAAAAAAAGGCCUCUGGUGUAACAAUUUAGAGAAAAUAAAUGACAAGCAAGAAAACCAUAUUGUGUCUUAAAAGUGAUAUUUUCCUGUUAUAAAGCUCCAAUAUUAAUUAUAUAGCAGGCAUGAGAAGGGAAAAAAGGGAUGAUGGAAAAUCAGAAGUGCCUGAAAAUCAGGGUCACUUGGGAGGCUUUUGUGAUUUCCCGUAAUGUGACAUAAACCACCUAUUGUGUUUUUGU